UGUCUAAGGACAAGUGUUUGUUGAGAUGUGUAUUUGUUUCUUUUUAUAAAUUGAUGUAAAUUUUGAGUUCAUUUAAAUACAAUUGUGAUAUUCAGAAGCGGAUAUUUAAAAUGUAUGUAAAAUGCCUUAGGCGUUUUAAAGUUAGGGGUUCUUUAAGGAGGAUUUACGUAGAAAACGUGAUGUCACAUGACCCGGUUCAGUUUGUAGCGGUUCUGCGUCACUUUGGGUCAGAACGAACAUGAAUGCAGAGAAAUGACAUGUGGUCUGAAAAGAGUUGCUUAAUCUGCAUGGUUUGAGAGGCGCACACGUUUUCACGGUGUCUAUGGUGUCAACUCAAGAGAGAGAGAGAGAGAUAUGUACGAAAUAAACGACAAAGACAUCUGUA